GGGUGGGCUAGUCCGGGCAGCUCGGCGUUGCCUGUAACCCGAAAUCGUCGAUAUGCGGGGGACGAAAGCCUGUGGGAGGCACAGGCUCUUUUCGCAACAGCCCAUGCAUCUGACUGAGAAGUCCCGUCCCAUGGGGGUGGUGCUGUCAUAGGGGCUUGCCGGAGGGCAUGUCCCUAUGGCUUAACCAUGGGAAACGGCUCAGGCCCGGAAGGGAGCAGGCUUACCAUGGGCAACCAUCGCUCAUGGGGUUGCGGGAUGGAGGAAGAUGCAUGGUGUCUGGGCGAAGAGAGUUGUGUCGACUGCAGGAUGCCCACCC
rnacentral:SRP_RNA from 1 species